ACACUCCUGCGGGAGGCAGCAGUGGGGAAUAUUAGACAAUGGGCGCAAGCCUGAUCCAGCCAUGCCGCGUGAGUGAUGAAGGCCCUAGGGUUGUAAAGCUCUUUCACCGGUGAAGAUAAUGACGGUAACCGGAGAAGAAGCCCCGGCUAACUUCGUGCCAGCAGCCGCGGUAAUACGAAGGGGGCUAGCGUUGUUCGGAUUUACUGGGCGUAAAGCGCACGUAGGCGGACUAUUAAGUCAGGGGUGAAAUCCCGGGGCUCAACCCCGGAACUGCCUUUGAUACUGGUAGUCUUGAGUUCGAGAGAGGUGAGUGGAAUUCCGAGUGUAGAGGUGAAAUUCGUAGAUAUUCGGAGGAACACCAGUGGCGAAGGCGGCUCACUGGCUCGAUACUGACGCUGAGGUGCGAAAGCGUGGGGAGCAAACAGGAUUAGAAACCCUUGUAGUCCCAUG
rnacentral:rRNA from 1 species